GGGGAUAUAGCUCAGUGGUAGUGCGCUUGCCUAGCAUAUGCAAAAUCCUGAGUUCGAUCCCCAGUACCACCA
rnacentral:tRNA from 1 species